rnacentral:rRNA from 1 species
UAGCCUACGGGAGGCAGCAGUGGGGGAUAUUGGACAAUGGGGGAAACCCUGAUCCAGCGACGCCGCGUGAGUGAAGAAGUAUUUCGGUAUGUAAAGCUCUAUCAGCAGGGAAGAAAGAAAUGACGGUACCUGAGUAAGAAGCCCCGGCUAACUACGUGCCAGCAGCCGCGGUAAUACGUAGGGGGCAAGCGUUAUCCGGAAUUACUGGGUGUAAAGGGAGCGUAGACGGUAAUGCAGGUCUGGAGUGAAAGGAGGGGGCCCAACCCCGGGACUGCUCUGGAAA